rnacentral:rRNA from 1 species
CCACGCAUACCCAACCUGUCUCUCGAACUACAGCAUGUGUACUGCCGUUGUAAGCAUACCUUUAAAAGAACAAGUAUGCUACUAUGAUUAAAAUAAGCCAACUCAUAUACAUCAGGUCAAAGUGCAGCUAAUAAGAAGGUGAUGAUGGGUUACAACCCCCAACACAGAUAUCAAAUAAGAUAUAAAAAAUCUUACGAAAGUGGACUUGGCCGUAAUCAAUUUACAAGUUAAAAAAAUGAAUAAAAACCUAAGACAUGCACACAUCGCCCGUCACUCUAUCCUAAAGGUUAGAUAAGUCGUAACAAAGUAGGUGUAAUGGAAAUUGCACCUGUCGAAGUAUAGCAUAUAUAAUGCUUUUUACUUACACUAAAAACAAAGUUAAAUAACUUGCUUCGCCCACACAACAAAAUCUUAUAAAACAUCAAAUAAUAGAAACAACUAAACAAGUAUUAACAAUAGACAAGUACAGAAAUGGAAACAACAAUAAAUAAAAGUAAUUAUUAACAACUGUACCUCGUGCAUUAUGGUUUUACAAGAAAAUAAUUAAAUAUACCGACCCGAAUUCUAAAUGAGAUGUUAAACUGCUGUUGCGCACCCACUAAUAACUGUAGAAAAAGCUUUAAAAGACAGUUUAACAGAGGCUACAUACCAUCCGCAUAAGAAUAUAGCUGGUUUUCAACAAACAUUAUACAUUAAAACAUAUAAUUUAAUUAUAUUGUAAUAUUAUUGAGGAUAAGCCCAAUAAUCAAGGCAAUAAACACACUAAAUCAAUUAAAUUCCAUAGGCCUAAAAUCAGCCAAAUAAAAUACUUUACCGUAAAUAAGAUAGAUAUAAUAUAUGUAACAAACAUGCCAAAUAAAGUUGAAAUAGUGAAUAAAUCACAAUCCUACACUUAUACUAUGUAAAAAUAAGUAUUAUGAAACUACAAUAACAACCAACCUAGUAAAUAACAAAACACAAAUAAUAAUAAUUAAUUAAGGAACUCGGCAAACUCCUAUUUCGACUGUUUAACAAAAACAUUGUCUCAUGUAAGAAAUAUGAGA